ensembl:lncRNA LOC108348194 glutaredoxin-1 pseudogene
GUGGCACCAACUGCCUGUCUAAUCUUCAAUGCCUCCAGAUUUCACUAAUCAACCUGUUGUCCAGGCUAAGCAGGCUGUUUGGGAGAAAGAGCAAAGAGCAUGAAGAGAGUUUCUUCCAGAUCAGUGAAUGAUUCUUGUAAAGCAGCUCAUGGAAUGGACUUCUGAGACCAACUAUGAGCCCUCCAGACUGGUGCUUUCCAACCAACAGACAAAAGUAUCCACUCUACACGAAUGAUACAUAGAUAUAUACACAGAAUACCAGGAUGGAUACAGUUUCUUCAGUUUCAUGAAUGAGGUAUUCAGCAGGUCUUGGUCCACAGAAGCAACGACAUCAGGUUUUCCAAUUCCAUUUGACAUGGGACCAGAACCUUCAACCGAAUGUUCCUUCCUGGAAAGCUGCAGCCUGUCAGCGUGGCUCAGUGGUUUGUGAACUGCAAGUUCCCAUCUGGGAAGGUGGUCGUGUUCAUCAAGCCCACCUGCCCCUAUUUGCAGAAAGACCCAAGAAAUCCUCAGUCAACUGCCUUUCAAACCUGGUCUUCUGGAGUCUGUGAACAUCACAGUCACUAACACACCAAUGUGAUUCAAGAUUAUUUACAACAGCUCACUGGAUGGAGAACAGUUCCUCAGGUCUUCAUAGAUAAAAAACGACUGCAUAGGCAGACGCAGUGAUCUAAUAUCCGUGACACAGCAAGGUGAGCUGAUGACCUGACUGAAGGAGAUUGGAGCUCUGCAGUUAGGAAAGGGGUGCAGGCAGAGCCCAUGCCGAGAGCCAUCAUCCUGACAUUCCGACGGCCAAUGCCCCUGAGAGUUGAUGUGCAUCACAGAGGAUGUCAGUAUUUUCUGGUGACUGGGCUUUUCAACAAAUUGGCUUUUAUUCUUCUUUUCCUCAGUGCUAAACCCUGUUGCUAUUUGCCUCUAACCAUGGGGCUGAGAAGCUUAACAGACAACACUGGCUUGAUUUUCCACUCUUCAUGUGCUGAUAUGUCUCUGCCUCUAAGCCCAUGUUUCCCAUCCUGUUGAUCUAAAUCCCCAUUGGAUGUGUUUCUGGUUUCCUGCCAUGCUGGUCAGCUGAAGUCAUAUUGCAGAAGUCCACUUCCUGAAUGGUUAUUAAAUCAAUGGAUAAUGUGAAUUUGUUUAUGAGUCACACUCAGGCCUUUCCCUCCCUCCGGCAGGCACCAUCCCACUUCUGCAUUCACAGCUCUCAGCCAGUGUUCUCAACCUUGCCCUCCCACAACCCACAGAAGUGCACACUUGUAUGAGGACGCUGUUUGAAAAAUCAGAUGAAGAGCUUUAGCAUACUUGGUCCUCACUGUAGCCAUAUUAAUAUAG